rnacentral:rRNA from 1 species
UACGAAGGGGGCUAGCGUUGCUCGGAAUCACUGGGCGUAAAGGGUGCGUAGGCGGGUCUUUAAGUCAGGGGUGAAAUCCUGGAGCUCAACUCCAGAACUGCCUUUGAUACUGAGGAUCUUGAGUUCGGAAGAGGUGAGUGGAACUGCGAGUGUAGAGGUGAAAUUCGUAGAUAUUCGCAAGAACACCAGUGGCGAAGGCGGCUUACUGGUCCGGAUCUGACGCUGAG